rnacentral:rRNA from 1 species
GACGAACGCUGGCGGCGUGCUUAACACAUGCGAGUCGAACGGUAAGGCCCCUUCGGGGGUACACGAGUGGCGCACGGGUGAGUAACACGUGAGCAACCUGCCCUUGACUCUGGAAUAACAGUUGGAAACAGCUGCUAAUACUGGAUAUUCAUCGUCUCCUUCCUGGGGGGUGGUGGAAAGCUCCGGCGGUCAGGGAUGGGCUCGCGGCCUAUCAGCUUGUUGGUGAGGUAAUGGCUCACCAAGGCUUCGACGGGUAGCCGGCCUGAGAGGGCGACCGGCCACACUGGGACUGAGAUACGGCCCAGACUCCUACGGGAGGCAGCGGUGGGGAAUAUUGCACAAUGGUCGCAAGCCUGAUGCAGCAACGCCGCGUGCGGGAUGACGGCCUUCGGGUUGUAAACCGCUUUCAGUAGGGACGAAGGGUGACUGACGGUACCUACAGAAGAAGGACCGGCUAACUACGUG